rnacentral:rRNA from 1 species
GACGAACGCUGGCGGCGCGCCUAAUACAUGCAAGUCGAGCGAAGUUUUUCUGGUGCUUGCACUAGAAAAACUUAGCGGCGAACGGGUGAGUAACACGUAAAGAACCUGCCUCAUAGACGGGGACAACUAUUGGAAACGAUAGCUAAUACCGGAUAACAGCAUAAAUCGCAUGAUAUAUGUUUAAAAGUUGGUUUCGGCUAACACUAUGAGAUGGCUUUGCGGUGCAUUAGCUAGCUGGUGGGGUAAAGGCCUACCAAGGCGACGAUGCAUAGCCGACCUGAGAGGGUGAUCGGCCACACUGGGACUGAGACACGGCCCAGACUCCUACGGGAGGCAGCAGUAGGGAAUCUUCCGCAAUGGGCGAAAGCCUGACGGAGCAACGCCGCGUGAGUGAAGAAGGAUUUCGGUUCGUAAAGCUCUGUUGUUAGGGAAGAAUGAUUGUAUAGUAACUAUAUACAGUAGAGACGGUACCUAACCAGAAAGCCACGGCUAACUACGUGCCAGCAGCCGCGGUAAUACGUAGGUGGCAAGCGUUGUCCGGAAUUAUUGGGCGUAAAGCGCGCGCAGGUGGUUUAAUAAGUCUGAUGUGAAAGCCCACGGCUCAACCGUGGAGGGUCAUUGGAAACUGUUAAACUUGAGUGCGGGAGAGAAAAGUGGAAUUCCUAGUGUAGCGGUGAAAUGCGUAGAGAUUAGGAGGAACACCAGUGGCGAAGGCGGCUUUUUGGCCUGUAACUGACACUGAGGCGCGAAAGCGUGGGGAGCAAACAGG